rnacentral:lncRNA from 1 species
UACCGGCAACCAUGAGUCCAAUGACCACACCACUGUUACCACAUCCUCAUCAGUCUUGAAACCCAGCUGUCAGUGACACCAAUCGAUUGGAAUCUAGCCGACUCCGAGCAAAACCAUGGCGAGCGUAACCCAGCUGCCGCCGACAGAAAUCGACCAGAACCCAGCUACCACUUCAAUUAUUGAUCACGUCCAGCCGACCAGUUGCACACUGGGCGUCGAUAAUCCACUAUUCCCGAGUAGCUAACAACAAGUUUGCUCAUGGUAAUCAAUUAAUCCCGACACAUGAUAGUUCCCUGCAACUUGUGUUUGAAACUUAGAAUCUCAUGCUUCUCUCAGUUUUAUAUAUUCUAUCAGGUUUGUUUGAAACUUUGAAACAACAUAUUAUCAUUUGUCAGCUUGUUUUCAAUUUUUUUUAAUGGUUAGCAGGUUUUGAUUAAUUAUAGAUUUCAUAUAUUCUUUGUGAGACUUGUCAAAAGGGUCCUAAAUCCAAUUUCAAUCUGAAUUAAUCCGAAUCCAAAAUAUAAUCCGAAAUCUAAACUCAUCUGAUCUGAUCCGAAUCCGAAGUUAUCCGAAAUUUUUAUCUGAUCCGAAUUAUUCAGAUCGGUUUCAGAUUGGAUUUAAAGUCGGAUUGAAUUCGGGUAAAUUUUUUUCCAACCCUAAUUAUCUGAAUUCCAAUUGGAUUCGGAUGAAUCCGAUCCGAAUCCGAAAUUGCCCACCCUUAUAUUAGCAUGUUAAUUGAGACAAAAUUAAGUGACAAAAACUGUGUUCAAUCAAGAGGUUUAGAAUUCAAACUCCACUUAUAUGGAUAAGGAGGGUUUGAGUUACUGUUAUACUAAAUAAUAAUAACAAUAAAAUUAAACGACAACACAGUAUGCAUGAUUAGUACAUAAAAUCAUACAUUUGCCAUUAAUAAUUGCCCUAAAUUUUUCAUGUUCAGACGUUAUGGCUAUUAGUUAAUCAGUUUCAUCACUUGUCUGAUUUCUUCUUAAAUGCCCUUGUUCAAACAAUUUGAAAUUUACAUGAUUGUAAUGAUAUAGGAUAGUAUAUAUAAUCUGUAUAUAGAAUUGGUCUUUGUUACAACUAACAAUGGUUUGUUUAGAAAUGUUUAUUUGUGAAAAGUGAAUCACUUUUGGCUUGCAAACUUGUCCAAUUAUUUAUGUUCAAGAUCAAAGCAAAAACAUUCUUAAGGAAAAAAAGAAAAACAUUCUUGCCGUACAGUAGUUUCCACUGUGUAUGUGUUUUAAAUGGAGCCAAAUGUUGUGUUUUGAUAUUUCUCUAACUUAGAAUCUAACACCCAAGACAUUAAUACUUUCUCAAGAAACAAACAGCAAUCAUGGAAUUAAGAAUUGAUGAGCAUAAAAUAUAUACAUAUUUUACCCUUAAUUACAUAAUUGCUAGGCAUUUUUAUUUGUUAUUUUUAAUUAAUUGAAUUAUUUUAUUAAAUAGGGAAUUAAUUGGAGAUCAUGGAUAAAAAGGACAUGAGAAAGUUCAAUUUGGGAGCAUUAAAGAUUAAUUGACUUUGGAAGCAAUUAGACAUACAUGUAUCCGAAGCUAGUAAAUUAAUUGAUCCAGCCACGUGAAGAAGAAAUUAACCACAACAUAUGUGGCUUUAGCUUAAUCAGAGUGCACCUGCAAGACCAAAUAAAAUUAAAAGGCCAACCCUUUUGGCUUUAGAAUUGAAAAAGGUCGGUGGCCCAUUUUGAAGACUAUAAAAGCCGACUUUGGCUUUUGAGAGGGCAGCUGCCAGAGGAAGUGUUGUGCAAAUUUUAAUGUACUCGCAAGCGCACGAAUCUAUUGUAGUAUAGAUCAAUGGUGACAAGUGUCGAUCCCAUGAGGAGG